rnacentral:rRNA from 1 species
GAUGGACGCUGGCGGCGUGCCUAACACAUGCAAGUCGAGCGAUCUUCUUCGGAAGAGAGCGGCGGACGGGUGAGUAACGCGUGGGUAACCUGCCUCAUACACAUGGAUAACAUACCGAAAGGUAUGCUAAUACAAGAUGAUAUAAGAGAUUCGCAUGGAUUUCUUAUCAAAGCUCCGGCGGUAUGAGAUGGACCCGCGUCUGAUUAGCUAGUUGGUAAGGUAACGGCUUACCAAGGCGACGAUCAGUAGCCGACCUGAGAGGGUGAUCGGCCACAUUGGAACUGAGACACGGUCCAAACUCCUACGGGAGGCAGCAGUGGGGAAUAUUGCACAAUGGGCGAAAGCCUGAUGCAGCAACGCCGCGUGAGCGAUGAAGGCCUUCGGGUCGUAAAGCUCUGUCCUCAAGGAAGAUAAUGACGGUACUUGAGGAGGAAGCCCCGGCUAACUACGUGCCAGCCGCCGCCGUAAAAC